rnacentral:rRNA from 1 species
AGGAAAAGAAACCAACAGGGAUUGCCUUAGUAACGGCGAGUGAAGCGGCAAUAGCUCAAAUUUGAAAGCUGGCCCCUUCGGGGUCCGCGUUGUAAUUUGUAGAGGAUGAUUCGGCGAGGGCUCCCGUCUAAGUCCCUUGGAACAGGGCGUCAUAGAGGGUGAGAAUCCCGUAUGUGAUGGGCUGCCUUAGCCAUGUGAAUCUCCUUCGACGAGUCGAGUUGUUUGGGAAUGCAGCUCUAAAUGGGAGGUAAAUUUCUUCUAAAGCUAAAUACCGGCCAGAGACCGAUAGCGCACAAGUAGAGUGAUCGAAAGAUGAAAAGCACUUUGGAAAGAGAGUUAAAAAGUACGUGAAAUUGUUGAAAGGGAAGCGCUUGCAGCCAGACUUGUCCGCAGUUGCUCAGCUUGUCUCCUGACAGGCGUACUCUUCUGCGGCCAGGCCAGCAUCAGUUCGGGCGGUCGGAUAAAGACCUGGGGAAUGUAGCUCCUCUCGGGGAGUGUUAUAGCCCUGGGUGCAAUGCGGCCAGCCUGGACUGAGGAUCUCGCUUCGGCUAGGAUGCUGGCGUAAUGGCUGUAAGCGGCCCGUCUUGAAACACGGACCAAGGAGUCUAACAUCUAUGCGAGUGUUUGGGUGUCAAACCCAUGCGCGUAAUGAAAGUGAACGGAGGUGGGAACCCUCACGGGUGCACCAUCGACCGAUCCUGAUGUCUUCGGAUGGAUUUGAGUAAGAGCAUAGCUGUUGGGACCCGAAAGAUGGUGAACUAUGCCUGAAUAGGGUGAAGCCAGAGGAAACUCUGGUGGAGGCUCGCAGCGGUUCUGACGUGCAAAUCGAUCGUCAAAUUUGGGUAUAGGGGCGAAAGACUAAUCGAACCAUCUAG